CCCAAACCUCUCUCGCACGCGGGGACUGAGCACGGCCCGAAAAGCCGAGGACAGCCGGACUCACCCUGUAGUUAUAGUAGUGCGUCUGCACAAGAUGCCGGUGGCGCGACUUGUGGUUGCCGAAGUUGGAUUUCUCGCAAACCAAGAUGGGGUCUUGCUGUGUUGCCCAGACUGGUCUCAAACUCCUGAGCUCAAGUGAUCCACCCACCGUGGCCUCCCAAAGUGCUGAGAUUAAAGACAGAGUUUCACUCUCGUUGCCCAGGCUGGAGUUCAAUGGCACGAUCUCGGCUCACUGCAACCUCUGCAGUGUGGUAGAACGCAGAUGUGGUAGAAAUAGCCACCGCAUCGGCCCACAUCAAAGUUUUAAACAAAGAUAUGCUAAGCUGUGUCUGUUGGAUGUGCCAAGGACCUGCAAUUUUGGUUACCUGCAAAAUGCUUUCCUACUGUGGCCUUGUGCUACCAGCCAACGUGACAGGAUGCCAGAAGCACAGGCCCUUUGAAACUGUUGUACUUAUGCUGAGGAUGCUGCCCUUCAUUGAAAGAGCAUAAGAGAAUGUCUUCCGCUUUAGCACCAGAAAGAGUUACAAUUCUUCUAAGAAAGUGGCUGCUUCGGUAUCACAGACACUCUGACUCACAUUACUAAUCAUGGUCCUCUCCCUGCAUAGGCUGCUGGGAAGCUCAGAACCAGACCUGAGGCCGUGCUCCUGGCUGCUUACUGUCCUGCCUUCUAACCACCCUUUUGCUUGGAAACCUCAUCCCAGGACUUAUUUUGGUUUUCCUAUUCUUAUUUUCCUGAUUUUUCUUACUUAACACACCCACAAACAAUUCUGAUCUGUGGUUAAAAAUAUAUCGAAAUUCAGAAUAAAAUUAAAUGCAACUUGUUUUCAAAUAAACUAUGGGAGUAUAAACUAUAUACUGAGAGACAUGAUAGGGUUCUAAAAUUUCUUACUGAGAAUUUGGAACAACAAUGUUAAAUGAUGGUAAGGUUCACAGGGCAGUCCAAGUAAAUUUAAUUUAACCAUGCUGCAGCAAAAUGACAGUGUUAAGAGAAGUCACUCCCAGCGUAAUUCUAUACUCAUGUUAAAAAAGAAAUUCUUAUUAGAGGAUUUGUGUUUAAAGAGACAUCAUUGAUUAUCUGAAUUUGUAUAGGCACUGGAUAUAUUAAGUCAACUAACAAAUCAUAAGCAUUUAAAUAGGAGUAAGUCCAGGGGCCUUGUAAAUAACCCAUAGUUUAUUCAGUCAGUUGACUUGUUCUUUUUUCCUUACAUAAACAAGUAACAGGGUGAUUUAAUUCAGUGAGAGUGGUGAAGUGAAUACAGAUCUGUGAAGAACAAUAAAAUGUUAAUUUUAUGAUCCUGUUUAUUUUGCUGAAGUUUCUACAUGAUAGGAAACAAAUGCAAAUUUUGACCCAGGGUCAGUCCUUACUAUUUCCAGCAGCAGAAAAUGAAUCUACUAGGAUACCUGAAUUUUAUAAGCAAAUCCAACCUAUUUCAUAUAAACAUAAUAAGGUCUUGGACACAGUUAUUCAUAGUCCGAGACUAUUAACUGGGCUCUCAUUCAGCAUUUAUGCAUUUGAAAUCUACCUAGUCAAAUUUUCUUGACAAAAUGUUAGCCUCUAAAGGAAGAAUUCUGCUUCUGAUAACCCAUUAUGCUACUUUUACACGCAUGUGUUAAGCAAGCAGCAGAAUCAGAUUUGGAAUUUAGAAAGAUAUUCUUUCCGGUGGCAAUAGGCAGGAUGCCUGGCAGAGCAAAGAACAGGAGGUAGAUAGACCCGGAGGGGGCUGUACAAAAUGCAGACAGAAACUGAUGAACCAACAAAAAGCAAUCAACUCGUGAGACAUAAAGAAGGUCCGGCAAGGGAAAUAAGUGAGAGAACCUGCUGGGCAUAAGGACCUACUGACUACGGUAAAGUAAGGGGAGAAAGUGAAGUGACUUCCAGCUUGCACAAGGAAAUACUGGGAUGAUGAGAGGCAAUGCUGGAGUGUUGAGUUUGCCUGAAGGAUUAGGUUGGGGAUGGGUUAGGGAUGAUGUGGAGUUUUAGUUUAGAUACGAGGUGUUGGUAGCAUAACCAGAAAAUGCCCAGGAGGCCCCUGGAAAGGACAAAUGGAGGGGAAUCACUAGAGCACACAAGGUUGGAGCCAUGAGUUGUGGGCAUCUAGGGAGGGUGUGGGAAGGUCAAGAUGGAGUGCAAGGGGCCUCCAAUGUCAAGCGGAGCCAAGAGAGGAGCAGACAAGGAGAAGGUGGUGUCCCGCACGCUAGGGAAGGAAGAAAGAAGCUGGAGACUGGUUAAUUGGGCCAAAGAUACAAUGAAGGAAAGUGACAAGAAGGAAGGUGGCAGGCCAGACUGCAGCAGAGUGAGGAGUGAGGGCAGCUGACAGCCGGGAGAGUGCACAGACCAUUCCCACCAGCUGCAGGCUGUCAGGGUAUCACUGACUUCCUAAUCGGCACAGGCCACAUUGGUCUUUUCCCAAGGCUCUUCCAGACCUGCAGAAUCUGGGUUUCUGCUCUAUGAGGGUCCCUGAGCAUAGGCCCUUAAAAACAUUCUCACCACCCCCAUAGGGAACAGUACCUGGCCAUGGCGCAGAACAAGUGCAUGAGAGGACAGAGAGAGAAGGGAAGCUGAUGCCCCCGGCAGGGAUGCUCAUGCUGCCUGCCGCAGCCAAUCAGGUGGAACCCAGGGCCUGUGGUCUAGGAUCUUUCCUUCCAUUAAGGUAAACAGGGCAAAAUAAGACUCAAAACACCACAGGCUUCGAAGACAUCACCUUUCAGUACUCCACCUAGCUCUGCCAAACCUAGCCUCAGCUGUAUCCUAUUGCUGAAAACUCUCCUUACAGUACAUCCAACCUUUCCAGGCCUUCUCUACGUCUGCUUGUUCCCUGACUCACUCUGGUAAAAUCUCACCUCCUAUCUUUCCUUUCUCUUCAUUUUUUCUGCCAUCCAUUAUUACUACUCUGCAGAAGUAUUUACAUUAACACUACUCCCCCUCCUCUGCUGACACUUUGGAAUAUGGCAUGUACCCAAGUUAAUUUAUUUUCAAUGUAUAAAACUGUACCCUUUGUGAUAAUAUUACCUUAGGAUACUCAAACACAAUACAAAAAUAUUUACUUAAGAAAUCUAAAACAAUAGCAGCUGGGAGAAAUAUCUAUUAAAAUACCAACUGUG
rnacentral:lncRNA from 1 species